rnacentral:snoRNA from 1 species
AUCCAUGAACCUAGUCAAGGCUCCAGUACACUGCUUUUCAGCGGAAUCACACACUUGGGGCCUGUUACGUUCAUGGGAGAAUGAAUCGGUUCGAUCAUCUUCGCCAUUGGUCUUCGUUUUGGAGGCCAUGGAUCACCGGAGAUUUGGGCUCGGGAAGUCUCUUCAGAGUUGAGUAUGGUGUAUUGCGACCUUUAUGGUGGCGAGGCAGGCUGCACUCAUAGUUUUGGGACAUACACUA